GACUUUGUAGUGUAACAAGCACAAUAGAUUGCAAGUCUAAAAGUGGACAAUCCCAAAGUCUC
rnacentral:tRNA from 1 species